rnacentral:rRNA from 1 species
CAGCCGCCGCGGUAAUACCGGCGGCCCGAGUGGCGGUCACUAUUAUUGGGCUUAAAGCGUCCGUAGCCGGGGUGGGAAGUCCUCCGGGAAAUCUGGCCGCUUAACGGUCAGAAUGCCGCAGGAUACUCCCAGCCUAGGGAGCGGGAGAGGCCGAGGGGAUUCCCGGAGUAGGGGUGAAAUCCUAUAAUCCCGGGAGGACCACCUGUGGCGAAGGCGCUCGGCUGGAACGCGUCCGACGGUGAGGGACGAAGGCCAGGGGAGCAAACCGGAUUAGAUACCCGGGUAGUCCUGGCUGUAAACGAUGCGGACUUUGUGUCGGACAAGCUAUGAGCUUGUCCGGUGCCGGAGGGAAACCGUUAAGUCCGCCGCCUGGGGAGUACGGCCGCAAGGCUGAAACUUAAAGGAAUUGGCGGG